UACGUAGGGUGCAAGCGUUAAUCGGAAUUACUGGGCGUAAAGCGUGCGCAGGCGGUUUUGUAGACACGAGUGUGAAAGCCCCGGGCUUAACCUGGGAACUGCGUUUGUAACUGUGGGACUUGAGUGCGGCAGAGGGGGGUAGAAUUCCACGUGUAGCAGUGAAAUGCGUAGAGAUGUGGAGGAAUACCGAUGGCGAAGGCAGCCCCCUGGGUUAGUACUGACGCUCAUGCACGAAAGCGUGGGGAGCAAACAGGAUUAGAUACCCUUGUAGU
rnacentral:rRNA from 1 species